rnacentral:rRNA from 1 species
UGGGGAAUAUUGCGCAAUGGGCGAAAGCCUGACGCAGCAACGCCGUGUGAGGGAUGAAGGCUUUCGGGUCGUAAACCUCUGUCGGAAGGGAAGAACGGGUGGUGGUCUAAUAGGCCUCCAUUUUGACGGUACCUUUAGAGGAAGCACCGGCUAACUCCGUGCCAGCAGCCGCGGUAAUACGGAGGGUGCAAGCGUUAUUCGGAAUUACUGGGCGUAAAGCGCACGUAGGCGGCCUUGUAAGUCAGGGGUGAAAUCCCACGGCUCAACCGUGGAACUGCCUUUGAAACUGCAGGGCUUGAAUCCUGGAGAGGGUGGCGGAAUUCCUGGUGUAGGAGUGAAAUCCGUAGAUAUCAGGAGGAACACCGGUGGCGAAGGCGGCCACCUGGACAGGUAUUGACGCUG